rnacentral:tRNA from 1 species
GCCUUUGUGGUGUAGUGAUCAGCACGCUCGACGCAUAACCGCGAGGUCCAUGGUUCGAUUCCCGGCGAGGGCA